rnacentral:tRNA from 1 species
GCCCCUGUAGCUCAGGUGGAUAGAGCACCAGCCUCCGGAGCUGGGGGCGAGCGUUCGAGUCGCUCCAGGGGCGC